rnacentral:rRNA from 1 species
UACAGAGGGUGCAAGCGUUAAUCGUAAUUACUGGGCGUAAAGCGCGCGUAGGUGGUUUGUUAAGUUGAAUGUGAAAUCCCCGGGCUCAACCUGGGAACUGCAUGCAAAACUGGCAAGCUAGAGUAUGGUAGAGGGUGGUGGAAUUUCCUGUGUAGCGGUGAAAUGCGUAGAUAUAGGAAGGAACACCAGUGGCGAAGGCGACCACCUGGACUGAUACUGACACUGAGGUGCGAAAGCGUGGGGAGCAAACAGG